UACGGGGGGGGCAAGCGGUUGUUCGGAAUUACUGGGCGUAAAGGGCUCGUAGGUGGCCAACUAAGUCAGACGUGAAAUCCCUCGGCUUAACCGGGGAACUGCGUCUGAUACUGGAUGGCUUGAGUUCGGGAGAGGGAUGCGGAAUUCCAGGUGUAGCGGUGAAAUGCGUAGAUAUCUGGAGGAACACCGGUGGCGAAGGCGGCAUCCUGGACCGACACGUGACGCUGAGAGCGAAAGCCAGGGGAGCAGACGGG
rnacentral:rRNA from 1 species